GCUGGUCUGGAGGUCUGUCAGCUGGUGCCAUUGCUGGAAUAGUUAUCUUGUGUUUAGUAAUUGCUUCAGCAGGAGCUGUUGGAGGGCUUUAUUUUUACAAAAAAACAAUCAACAAAGCUCUGUCACAUUCUGAUAAUAAUGAAAAAGAAGAAAAUGUGUAUGAGAACGCUUCAGCAAUAUAUGAGAACUUGUAAACUCAAUAACCUAAUUUCAAGGUGAGUUUUUAUUUAAUUCUUCUGAUUUAAUGAAAAUGGAUUAAUGUUUUUUGAAGAGGGAAGCACUCAGUGGUUGUAAUAU